UACGGAGGAUGUGAGCGUUAUCCGGAUUUAUUGGGUUUAAAGGGUGCGUAGGCGGAUCGUUAAGUCAGUGGUCAAAUUGAGGGGCUCAACCCCUUCCCGCCAUUGAAACUGGCGAUCUUGAGUGGAAGAGAAGUAUGCGGAAUGCGUGGUGUAGCGGUGAAAUGCAUAGAUAUCACGCAGAACCCCGAUUGCGAAGGCAGCAUGCCGGCUUCCGACUGACGCUGAAGCACGAAAGCGUGGGGAUCGAACAGG
rnacentral:rRNA from 1 species